AGCGAACGCUGGCGGCAGGCCUAACACAUGCAAGUCGAACGGACCCUUCGGGGUUAGUGGCGGACGGGUGAGUAACACGUGGGAACGUGCCUUUAGGUUCGGAAUAGCUCCUGGAAACGGGUGGUAAUGCCGAAUGUGCCCUUCGGGGGAAAGAUUUAUCGCCUUUAGAGCGGCCCGCGUCUGAUUAGCUAGUUGGUGAGGUAACGGCUCACCAAGGCGACGAUCAGUAGCUGGUCUGAGAGGAUGACCAGCCACACUGGGACUGAGACACGGCCCAGACUCCUACGGGAGGCAGCAGUGGGGAAUCUUGCGCAAUGGGCGAAAGCCUGACGCAGCCACGCCGCGUGAAUGAUGAAGGUCUUAGGAUUGUAAAAUUCUUUCACCGGGGACGAUAAUGACGGUACCCGGAGAAGAAGCCCCGGCUAACUUCGUG
rnacentral:rRNA from 1 species